rnacentral:rRNA from 2 species
GAAGGUGGCCUGUGAGGGUUGCUGGAGGUAUCAGAAGUGCGAAUGCUGACAUAAGUAACGAUAAAGCGGGUGAAAAGCCCGCUCGCCGGAAGACCAAGGGUUCCUGUCCAACGUUAAUCGGGGCAGGGUGAGUCGACCCCUAAGGCGAGGCCGAAAGGCGUAGUCGAUGGGAAACGGGUUAAUAUUCCCGUACUUGGUGUUACUGCGAAGGGGGGACGGAGAAGGCUAUGUUGGCCGGGCGACGGUUGUCCCGGUUUAAGCGUGUAGGUGUGUGUUCCAGGUAAAUCCGGUUCACUUUAACACUGAGGCGUGACGACGAGGCACUACGGUGCUGAAGCAACAAAUGCCCUGCUUCCAGGAAAAGCCUCUAAGCAUCAGGUAACAUCAAAUCGUACCCCAAACCGACACAGGUGGUCAGGUAGAGAAUACCAAGGCGCUUGAGAGAACUCGGGUGAAGGAACUAGGCAAAAUGGUGCCGUAACUUCGGGAGAAGGCACGCUGACACGUAGGUGAAGUGAUUUACUCAUGGAGCUGAAGUCAGUCGAAGAUACCAGCUGGCUGCAACUGUUUAUUAAAAACACAGCACUGUGCAAACACGAAAGUGGACGUAUACGGUGUGACGCCUGCCCGGUGCCGGAAGGUUAAUUGAUGGGGUCAGCGCAAGCGAAGCUCCUGAUCGAAGCCCCGGUAAACGGCGGCCGUAACUAUAACGGUCCUAAGGUAGCGAAAUUCCUUGUCGGGUAAGUUCCGACCUGCACGAAUGGCGUAAUGAUGGCCAGGCUGUCUCCACCCGAGACUCAGUGAAAUUGAACUCGCUGUGAAGAUGCAGUGUACCCGCGGCAAGACGGAAAGACCCCGUGAACCUUUACUAUAGCUUGACACUGAACAUUGAGCCUUGAUGUGUAGGAUAGGUGGGAGGCUUUGAAGUGUGGACGCCAGUCUGCAUGGAGCCGACCUUGAAAUACCACCCUUUAAUGUUUGAUGUUCUAACGUGGACCCGUUACCCGGGUUGCGGACAGUGUCUGGUGGGUAGUUUGACUGGGGCGGUCUCCUCCUAAAGAGUAACGGAGGAGCACGAAGGUUGGCUAAUCCUGGUCGGACAUCAGGAGGUUAGUGCAAUGGCAUAAGCCA